rnacentral:rRNA from 1 species
GAUCCUGGCUUAGGAUGAACGCUGGCGGCGUGCUUAACACAUGCAAGUCGAACGGGCAGAAAGCGAUGAAGUUUCGGAUGGAAUUGCUGGAAGCUAGUGGCGGACGGGUGAGUAACGCGUAAACAAUCUGCCUUAGAGAGGGGGAUAACAAAUAGAAAUAUUUGCUAAUACCGCAUAAGACCACAGGUAGGCAUCUACUAGGGGUAAAAGGAGAAAUCCGCUUUAAGAUGAGUUUGCGUACUAUUAGCUAGUUGGUGAGGUAACGGCCCACCAAGGCGACGAUGGUUAGCCGGCCUGAGAGGGUGAACGGCCACAUUGGAACUGAGAACGGUCCAGACUCCUACGGGAGGCAGCAGUGAGGAAUAUUGGGCAAUGGAGGAAACUUCCUGACCCAGCAACGCCGCGUGAAGGAAGUAAGGUUUUAGGAUUGUAAACUUCUGUUAGUAAGGGGAAAAAGAAAGUGAUGGUACCCUAUGAGAAAGCUACGGCAAACUAUGUGCCAGCCGCGGC